rnacentral:tRNA from 1 species
AAACUCUUUAAACCCUAUGUCUCAAAGUUAGCAGCCCUGGGACAAAUUUUCUACUAUAAAU